rnacentral:rRNA from 1 species
GACGAACGCUGGCGGCGUGCUUAACACAUGCAAGUCGAACGAAGUGGCGAACGGGUGAGUAACGCGUAAUCAACCUGCCCUUCAGAGGGGGACAACAGUUGGAAACGACUGCUAAUACCGCAUACUGAAGGAGGGGAUUGCGUUGGAUUGGCUAGUUGGAGGGGUAACGGCCUACCAAGGCGAUGAUCAGUAGCCGGGCUGAGGGGAUGAACGGCCACAAUGGGACUGAGGAACGGCCCAGGCUCCUACGGGAAGGAGCAUGGGGGGAUCUUCCGCAAUGGGCGAAAUGCUGGAGGAGGAACGCCGGGUGAGUGAUGACGGCCUUCGGGUUGGAAAGCUCCGUUAAUCGGGACGCGGUACCGGAAUAGAAAGCCACGGCUAACUACGUGCCAGCAGCCGCGGUAAUUC